rnacentral:rRNA from 1 species
AUGACAGGUGCUGCAUGGCUGUCGUCAGCUCGUGUCGUGAGAUGUUGGGUUAAGUCCCGCAACCGAGCGCAACCCCUAUCUUUAAUUGCCAUCAGUUCAGUUGGGCACUUUAAAGAGACUGCCGGUGAUAAACCGGAGGAAGGCGGGGACGACGUCAAGUCCUCAUGGCCCUUUACAUCCCGGACUACACACGUGCUACAAUGGCAGGUACAGAGGGCUGCGAAGCCGCGAGGUGGAGCGAAUCCCAGAAAACCUGUCUCAGUCCGGAUUGAAGUCUGCAACUCGACUUCAUGAAGGCGGAAUCGCUAGUAACCGCGAAUCAGCAGGUCGCGGUGAAUACGUUCCCGGGCCUU